GACGAACGCUGGCGGCGUGCCUAAUACAUGCAAGUCGAGCGCUGAAGGCUGGUACUUGUACCGACUGGAUGAGCAGCGAACGUGUGAGUAACGCGUGGGGCAUCUGCCUUUGAGCGGGGGACCACAUUUGGACACGAAUGCUUAUACCGCAUAAAAACUUUAAACAUAAUUUUUGAGUUUGAAAGAUGCAAUUGCAUCAUUCACAGAUGAUUCCGCGUUGUAUUAGCUAGUUGGUGAGGUAAAAGCUCACCAAGGCGUGGAUACAUAGCCGAACUGAGAGGGCGGUCGGCCACACUGGGAGUGAGACACGGCACAAACGCCUGCGGGAAGGAGCAGGAGGGAAACUUGGGCAAUGGGCGGAAGUUAGAGCGAACAAGGCCGAGGGAGGGAAGAAGGUUGUCGGGUCGGGAAACUCGGUUUGUGGGGAAGAAAGUUGGUGAGAGUGGAACGCUCAGCGAGUGACGGUAACUAGUCAGAAAGCAACGGCUAACUACGUG
rnacentral:rRNA from 1 species